GACGAACGCUGGCGGCGCGCCUAACACAUGCAAGUCGAACGAGCGAGAGAGAGCUUGCUUUCUCAAGCGAGUGGCGAACGGGUGAGUAACGCGUGAGGAACCUGCCUCAAAGAGGGGGACAACAGUUGGAAACGACUGCUAAUACCGCAUAAGCCCACAGCUCGGCAUCGAGCAGAGGGAAAAGGAGUGAUCCGCUUUGAGAUGGCCUCGCGUCCGAUUAGCUAGUUGGUGAGGUAACGGCCCACCAAGGCAACGAUCGGUAGCCGGACUGAGAGGGCGAACGGCCACAUUGGGACUGAGACACGGCCCAA
rnacentral:rRNA from 1 species